AUAGAUCAUUGACUUUUUCUUGGGGGCCUCUCUCAAAGAUGAGGUUUUGAAGAUUAUGCCGGUGCAGAAGCAGACCCGUGCUGGUCAGCGCACCAGGUUCAAGGCGUUUGUUGCUAUCGGGGACUACAAUGGCCACGUCGGCCUGGGUGUUAAGUGCUCCAAGGAGGUGGCCACCGCCAUCCGUGGGGCCAUCAUCCUGGCCAAACUCUCCAUUGUCCCGGUGCGCAGAGGCUACUGGGGGAACAAGAUCGGCAAGCCCCACACCGUCCCUUGCAAGGUGACAGGCCGCUGUGGCUCUGUGCUGGUGCGCCUCAUCCCUGCACCCAGGGGCACUGGCAUCGUCUCAGCGCCUGUGCCCAAGAAGCUGCUCAUGAUGGCUGGUAUUGAUGAAUGCUACACCUCAGCCCGGGGCUGCACUGCAACCCUGGGCAACUUCGCCAAGGCCACCUUUGAUGCCAUCUCUAAGACCUACAGCUACCUGACCCCUGACCUGUGGAAGGAGACUGUGUUUACCAAGUCUCCCUAUCAGGAAUUCACUGAACACCUUGUCAAGACCCACACCAGAGUCUCCGUGCAGCGGACCCAGGCUCCAGCUGUGGCUACAACACAGGCUUUUUUACAAGAAAAAUAAAGUGAAUUAAGCCUG